UACGUAGGGUGCAGGCGUUAAUCGGAAUUACUGGGCGUAAAGCGUGCGCAGGCGGUCUCUUAAGUCAGAUGUGAAAUCCCCGGGCUUAACCUGGGAACUGCGUUUGAAACUGGAAGGCUUGAGUGUGGCAGAGGGGGGUGGAAUUCCGCGUGUAGCAGUGAAAUGCGUAGAUAUGCGGAGGAACACCGAUGGCGAAGGCAAUCCCCUGGGCCUGCACUGACGCUCAUGCACGAAAGCGUGGGGAGCAAACAGG
rnacentral:rRNA from 1 species